ACCAUCUCCCACUCCUGCAGCUCUUCUCACAGGACCAGCCACUAGCGCAGCCUCGAGCGAUGGCCUAUGUCCCCGCACCGGGCUACCAGCCCACCUACAACCCGACGCUGCCUUACUACCAGCCCAUCCCGGGCGGGCUCAACGUGGGAAUGUCUGUUUACAUCCAAGGAGUGGCCAGCGAGCACAUGAAGCGGUGGUGGUAAAUGGAAAUCCCUUCUAUGAGUACGGGCACCGGCUUCCCCUACAGAUGGUCACCCACCUGCAAGUGGAUGGGGAUCUGCAACUUCAAUCAAUCAACUUCAUCGGAGGCCAGCCCCCCCGGCCCCAG
rnacentral:sRNA from 1 species